UACGAAGGGGGCUAGCGUUGUUCGGAAUUACUGGGCGUAAAGAGCUCGUAGGUGGUUUGUCGCGUUGUUCGUGAAAACCGGGGGCUUAACCCUCGGCGUGCGGGCGAUACGGGCAGACUUGAGUACUGCAGGGGAGACUGGAAUUCCUGGUGUAGCGGUGGAAUGCGCAGAUAUCAGGAGGAACACCGGUGGCGAAGGCGGGUCUCUGGGCAGUAACUGACGCUGAGGAGCGAAAGCGUGGGGAGCGAACAGG
rnacentral:rRNA from 1 species